GAUGAACGCUGGCGGCGUGCUUAACACAUGCAAGUCGAACGAUGAAGCCCAGCUUGCUGGGUGGAUUAGUGGCGAACGGGUGAGUAACACGUGAGUAACCUGCCCUUAACUCUGGGAUAAGCCUGGGAAACUGGGUCUAAUACCGGAUAGGAGCGCCUACCGCAUGGUGGGUGUUGGAAAGAUUUAUCGGUUUUGGAUGGACUCGCGGCCUAUCAGCUUGUUGGUGAGGUAAUGGCUCACCAAGGCGACGACGGGUAGCCGGCCUGAGAGGGUGACCGGCCACACUGGGACUGAGACACGGUCCAGACUCCUACGGGAGGCAGCAGUGGGGAAUAUUGCACAAUGGGCGAAAGCCUGAUGCAGCGACGCCGCGUGAGGGAUGACGGCCUUCGGGUUGUAAACCUCUUUCAGUAGGGAAGAAGCGAAAGUGACGGUACCUGCAGAAGAAGCACCGGCUAACUACGUG
rnacentral:rRNA from 1 species